CAAGUUCUUCGAGAUAACUUGGCCUGAUUUCAAGGUAAGGGAGUUCACUAGAAAUUAACAAUGGAGGCGCUUGGGAAUUUGGCAUUAGACAGAGGAAGGAGGUACGUGAAUUUGGAUGAUAAUCUUAGGUCGCUCGAAACCAAGUUGCGAAGAUUAGUCGGCAGAAAAACUGACCUCGAGUCGCAAGUGACAGAUGCAGAAAGAUCAGGUACUAAGAAAAGGAAAAGGGAGGUUGAGAUUUGGUUUGAGGAGGUAGCAACAGUAGAAAAUGAAUUCGGUGCAUUGAAAAAGAGCAUACAAGAGGGUGGAUUUCUAGAAAAUGCAAUUAGCAGUGGGGAUAGAGUGGCGAAAAUGGAUGCAAUUGUAGAGCAACUGAUGGAGCAAAGUAGUCAUUUUGAUGGGCUUUUGCUUGAGGCUUUUGAGAGCAGAGGUGAGCCACGAGUGACUACAAAAUUAUUUGGAGAAAUGUUUGACAGAGGUUUGAAAGCAAUCUGGGCGUGGUUGGUCAUCGAUAGCAUCUCAAACAUUGGGAUUUAUGGGAUGGGCGGUGUGGGUAAGACUACAUUGGCGAAACACAUCCAUAAUCAUCUCCUUGAGAGAACUCAAUUCAAGGUUUAUUGGAUUACUGUCUCUCAAGAAUUCAGCAUCAAAAGGCUGCAAGAUAACAUUGCUAAACGCCUAAGGCUUGAUCUGUCAUACGAGGAUGAUGAGGAUAGCAGGGCAGCCAUUUUGUCCAGGGCAUUGGUGAAGCAGUCCGUCCUCAUACUCGAUGAUGUUUGGCAAGAGUUUUCUUUUGCAAAGAUUGGAAUUCCUCUUGGUGCAAACAAAUGCAGAGUGAUCUUGACUACUCGAUCACUGGUAUUAUGCAACAGGAUUAGCUGUCAAAGGGUAUUUGAAGCUAAAACUUUGGCUACAAAUGAAGCUUGGGAUUUGUUUAAUCAUACACUUGACACUAAGACAGUGCUUCGUGGAGAUCUGGAAAAUAUUGCCAAGUCCGUUGCGAAAAGGUGUUCUGGUUUGCCUCUUGGUAUUGUCACAGUGGCUGGGAGCAUGAGAGGUGUGAACGAGAUGUGCGAGUGGGGAAACGCAUUGAAACAAUUGAAAGCAUGUUCAGUAGGGCAUGAUGAGAUGGAACGAGAUGUGUUUCCAAUCCUAGAAUGGAGUUUCAAUCGCUUGAAUGAAUGUCAAAGGAAUUGCUUCUUGUAUUGCUCUCUUUAUCCAGAAGAUUGCAAAAUAGAAAAAAAAAGACUAAUAGACCUCUUUAUUUGGGCAGAGCUAAUGGACAAACAGAGCUCAAGGUCAAGGUCAGAAGCAUUUGAUCAAGGUUGCACGAUAUUAAACAAACUGAUAAAAGUUUGCUUGCUAGAAGAAACUACAUCUUUAGAAGGAUAUGGCAUUAAGGAUGACUGUGUGAAGAUGCAUGAUUUGGUCAGAGAUAUGGCAUUAAGGAUCACGCAUGGAAACUCCAAACCAGAGAGCAGCAGAGAUGAUGUACCACGAUUCUUGGUGAAAAGCUUAAGACGGGAAGAUUCAAAAGUAACAACACUGGAACAAGAAGAGUGGACACAAGAUCUCCGUGCAGUUUCCUUCUAUUCACAAAUUUUCAAAGGAAUAGAAAUUCCACCAGCCUGGUCACCAAAUUGUCCUAAGCUCUCAACCUUGCUUCUUUCUCGGGUUUCCAUAAAAGAAAUCCCAGAUUCAUUCUUUCAGCACAUGUGUGGACUUAAAGUUUUGAAUCUAUCUCGGUGCGGAGGUAUAACAGAGUUGCCUAAUUCUGUUUCAAACUUGGUCAAUCUCGCUGCUUUGAUUUUGGGGGAUUGUGCACACCUCCGAUCCGUGCCACCACUGGGAAAGCUCAAGCAAUUGAGGGAUUUGGAUCUAUCCGGAACUAAGAUUGAGGAUUUACCUGAAGGCUGGGAGUCACUGGUCAACCUCGAAAGGUUUAACUUGAACGAGUGUUGGAGUUUAAGACGAAAGAUAAUAAUACCAAAAGGGACAUUUUCCCAAUUUCACCGUCUUCAACUGCUAUUAUUGCCACCCAAUGGUACAAUACAAGUUAAUGAUCCAGAAGUGUUGAACCAAUUAGAAAGUUUUGGAGGAUGUUUGUCUUUUACGGACUUCUAUAAAAUUACUCGGUGGCCAAAAUACUAUAAUAAUGUUUAUAUCAAUGACAUCUUACCUGAGGAUCCGAGUUUUGUUAAUGAAGUGCGGGAGUUCCCGGAGAAACAACUGCAUUUCCAUCGGUGUAAGCUUGGUAGAGGAUCGAACAAUCUGCCAGAUGAUAUGGAACGUCUGAUAAUCAAGGAUUGUGAGGGCAUGGGCAUUAGGUGCUUGUCAGAUGUUUUUAAGAAUUUUAUAAAUUUAAGCCACUUAUCUGAAUUGGAAAUUAUGGAUUCGGUUGGAAUAGAGUUCCUUUGGCAAUUGUCCUCUGCUGCUCCACGUGAUCAGUUGGAAGUCUCGUCUUUUAGUCCACUCUGUCAUCUCGAUUGGCUAGGCCUCAAAAGGUUGCCAAAUCUGGUUGGUCUUUUUUACGGAGAAUCAGAACCAUAUUUGCUUCCAGCUGGCACCUUUUCUUCCUUUAGAGAAUUGAGGAUUUCUGGAUGUCACAACAUGAAGCAGCUAUUCACAGUGCAGCUGCUGCAGAACCUUCAAAAUCUUGAAGAAUUAGACAUUAUAGAUUGUAAAGGACUGGAGGAGAUAGCAGCAGAUGGCAAUGGAGUAGGACAAGGAGGAGGAGAAGGCAGCCAAUUGACUUCAAGUGGAGCCACCGCCACUGUCAUCCUUCCAAAAUUAAAGUCGUUGUUUCUGUGUUGGCUGCCACAACUGAAUAACAUUUGCAAGGCAGUCAUGAUCUGCGAAUCAAUCGAGUACAUUAAUAUAUUAGAUUGUCGAAAUUUAAAGAGGCUGCCUUGGUUUCUUUCCACCAUCGACGGACCACCAUCUCCACCCAGCACUCUAGAGAUCAGAGGAGAAAAAGAAUGGUGGGAAUCAUUAGAGUGGGACAAUUCUUACCCAAAAGAUGCCCUUGACCCACUUUUUAGUGCAUGGUGAUGAAGUUCGAACUGGGAGUUGAAGGCUACCUAUUUGAUCAAAAUCAUGAUUGGUUCUCAUAGAACAGGAGAGGUAUUGGAAAGGUUUCUUGGUUAGAGUUCAUGUGAGAAAGAUGCAAAGAUCAGGUAGCAGCACUUACUGAUCAGAGUCGGAAUUUCAAUGGGCUUCUGCUUGAUAAUGACAAACUUGAUUGUAACAUCGAUUUAUUAGUGCUGGCCAAGAAUUGGUUUCUGGUCCAAAAACUUGCAUUACAUGUUCCCAAAUACUCUAAUUGGAUGACAAAUUUUGAGACAA